rnacentral:rRNA from 14 species
GACGUCAAGUCCUCAUGGCCCUUACGGGUUGGGCUACACACGUGCUACAAUGGUAGUGACAAUGGGUUAAUCCCAAAAAGCUAUCUCAGUUCGGAUUGUCGUCUGCAACUCGACGGCAUGAAGUCGGAAUCGCUAGUAAUCGCGGAUCAGAAUGUCGCGGUGAAUACGUUCCCGGGCCUUGUACACACCGCCCGUCACACCAUGGGAGUGGGUUGCUCCAGAAGUAGGUAGCUUAACCUUAGGGAGGGCGCUUACCACGGAGUGAUUCAUGACUGGGGUGAAGUCGUAACAAGGUAGCCGUAGGGGAACCUGCGGCUGGAUCACCUCCUU